rnacentral:rRNA from 1 species
UCUGCCUUCAGGUCUGGGACAACCACUGGAAACGGUGGCUAAUACCGGAUGUGCCGCAAGGUGAAAGGUUAACUGCCUGAAGAUGAGCUCGCGUCUGAUUAGCUAGUUGGUAGUGUAAGAGACUACCAAGGCGACGAUCAGUAGCUGGUCUGAGAGGACGAUCAGCCACACUGGGACUGAGACACGGCCCAGACUCCUACGGGAGGCAGCAGUGGGGAAUUUUCCGCAAUGGGCGAAAGCCUGACGGAGCAAUACCGCGUGAGGGAGGAAGGCUCUUGGGUCGUAAACCUCUUUUCUCAGGGAAGAACACAAUGACGGUACCUGAGGAAUAAGCAUCGGCUAACUCCGUGCCAGCAGCCGCGGUAAUACGGAGGAUGCAAGCGUUAUCCGGAAUGAUUGGGCGUAAAGCGUCCGCAGGUGGCGAUGUAAGUCUGCUGUUAAAGCGUCUAGCUCAACUAGAUAAAAGCAGUGGAAACUACAUAGCUAGAGUACGUUCGGGGCAGAGGGAAUUCCUGGUGUAGCGGUGAAAUGCGUAGAGAUCAGGAAGAACACCGGUGGCGAAGGCGCUCUGCUAGGCCGUAACUGACACUGAG